rnacentral:pre_miRNA from 1 species
GGUGUUUGGAAUGAGGUUUGAUCCAAGAUCAUGACAUCACAUAUCUUCAAUUUCCUCUAUAUUUGUUUCUUGAUUUACCUUGAUAAAUUUAUUUAUCAUCACUUCAUGCAUGGGAUGGGACUGAUCUCGGACCAGGCUUCAUUCCUCACACC